rnacentral:rRNA from 1 species
CCUGGCUCAGAACGAACGUUGGCGGCGUGGAUGAGGCAUGCAAGUCGAACGCGAAAGCCGCAAGGUGAGUAGAGUGGCGGACGGGCGAGUAACACGUAAUCAAGCUGCCUGCGAGACGGGAAUAACUUCGGGAAACCGAAGCUAAGACCCGAUGGUCUGCACGGAUCGCAUGGUUUGUGCAGUAAAUGGGCGGGAUCCUCCGGGAUCGCCUGCUCGCAGAGGUGAUUGCGGCCCAUCAGCUAGUUGGUAGGGUAAUGGCCUACCAAGGCUACGACGGGUAGCCGGCCUUAGAGGGUGGUCGGCCGCACUGGGACUGAGACACUGCCCAGACUCCUACGGGAGGCUGCAGUCGAGAAUCUUCCGCAAUGGGCGCAAGCCUGACGGAGCGACGCCGCGUGGAGGACGAAGGCCUUCGGGUUGUAAACUCCUGUCACGAGUUAAGAAGGUGCUGCUGCGAACAGCGGUAGCAUUUGACGUAAGCUCGAGAGGAAGCACUGGCUAACUCUGUGCCAGCAGCCGCGGUAAUACAGAGAGUGCAAACGUUGUUCGGAAUUACUGGGCUUGAAGCGCACGUAGGCGGCGUUGUAAGUGUCGGGUGAAAUCCCACGGCUCACCCGUGGAACUGCCCGGCAUACUGCGAUGCUAGAGUGUGGUAGGGG